GACGAACGCUGGCGGCGUGCUUAACACAUGCAAGUCGAACGAGACGAUUGAAAGCUUGCUUUUGAAAGUCGAGUGGCAAACGGGUGAGUAACGCGUAGACAACCUGCCUCUGAGAUGGGGACAACAGUUCGAAAGGACUGCUAAUACCGAAUGUUGUAUAUUUUCCACAUGGAAGAUAUAUUAAAGAUGGCCUCUAUUUAUAAGCUAACGCUCAAAGAUGGGUCUGCGUCUGAUUAGCUGGUUGGUGGGGUAACGGCCUACCAAGGCGACGAUCAGUAGCCGGUCUGAGAGGAUGAACGGCCACAUUGGGACUGAGAUACGGCCCAGACUCCUACGGGAGGCAGCAGUGGGGAAUCUUCCACAAUGGACGAAAGUCUGAUGGAGCAACGCCGCGUGAGUGAAGAAGGGUUUCGGCUCGUAAAGCUCUGUUGUCGGGGACGAAUGUGCAGUAUUUGAAUAAAGUACUGCAAUGACGGUACCUGACGAGGAAGCCACGGCUAACUACGUGCCAGCCGCCGCCGUAA
rnacentral:rRNA from 1 species